rnacentral:rRNA from 1 species
AUUGAACGCUGGCGGCAUGCCUUACACAUGCAAGUCGAACGGUAACGUGGGGCAACCUGGCGACGAGUGGCGAACGGGUGAGUAAUAUAUCGGAACGUGCCCAGUAGUGGGGGAUAGCCCGGCGAAAGCCGGAUUAAUACCGCAUACGACCCAAGGGUGAAAGCGGGGGAUCGCAAGACCUCGCGCUAUUGGAGCGGCCGAUAUCAGAUUAGCUAGUUGGUGGGGUAAAAGCCUACCAAGGCGACGAUCUGUAGCUGGUCUGAGAGGACGACCAGCCACACUGGGACUGAGACACGGCCCAGACUCCUACGGGAGGCAGCAGUGGGGAAUUUUGGACAAUGGACGCAAGUCUGAUCCAGCCAUGCCGCGUGCGGGAAGAAGGCCUUCGGGUUGUAAACCGCUUUUGUCAGGGAAGAAAUCCUUUGGGUUAAUACCUCGGAGGGAUGACGGUACCUGAAGAAUAAGCACCGGCUAACUACGUGCCAGCCGCCGCGGUAA